CGCGUAGGAAUCUACCCAGUAGUGGGGGACAACAGUCGGAAACGGCUGCUAAUACCGCAUACGCCCUAUGGGGGAAAGCGGGGGACCUUCGGGCCUCGUGCUAUUGGAUGAGCCUGCGUAAGAUUAGCUAGUUGGUGAGGUAAAGGCUCACCAAGGCGACGAUCUUUAGCUGGUCUGAGAGGAUGAUCAGCCACACUGGAACUGAGACACGGUCCAGACUCCUACGGGAGGCAGCAGUGGGGAAUAUUGCACAAUGGGGGAAACCCUGAUGCAGCCAUGCCGCGUGUGUGAAGAAGGCCC
rnacentral:rRNA from 1 species